GGUCAGGCCGGGCGGUGGCGCGCCGGCCGCUUCCGGCGCGGCCGCGGACGCGGCCGGGCUCGGGCCGCGCGCGCGGCUG
rnacentral:tRNA from 1 species